GGGCGCUUAGCUCAGGUGGCGAGAGCGCUUCCCUUACAAGGAAGAGGUCGGAGGUUCGAGUCCUCCAGCGCCCACCG
rnacentral:tRNA from 1 species